rnacentral:rRNA from 1 species
GACGUAGGGCGCGAGCGUUGUCCGGAUUUAUUGGGCGUAAAGAGCUCGUAGGCGGCUUGUUGCGUCAGCUGUGAAAACCCGCAGCUCAACUGUGGGCUUGCAGCUGAUACGGGCAGGCUAGAGUUCGGUAGGGGAGACUGGAAUUCCUGGUGUAGCGGUGAAAUGCGCAGAUAUCAGGAGGAACACCGAUGGCGAAGGCAGGUCUCUGGGCCGAUACUGACGCUGAGGAGCGAAAGGCGUGGGGAGCGAACAGG